AUGCAAUAAGUAAUGUGAAUUGCAGAAUCUCAUAAAUCAUCGAAUCUUUGAACGCACAUUGCGCCCUAUGGUAUUCCGUAGGGCAUGCUUGUCUGAGCGUCAGCUCCACCACACUCAAGUCUCUUAAUUGAAGCUUAGAUCACUUUAAAGAAGUGGCUGAAACAUAAAUAGGCUUCUCUUUAGAAAUUUAUAGGCAGUAUGGCACCUGAACCAGCCGUAAUAAGAAUAUAAAAGCGUCUCUCUUUAGGAAGGUUGUACUUGCCUUAAACCCACACAUUUUCUUCUGGGUGACCUCAGAUCAGGUAGGGAUACCCGCUAAACUUAA
rnacentral:rRNA from 1 species